CGCGUAGGCGGUUUUUUAAGUCUGAUGUGAAAGCCCACGGCUCAACCGUGGAGGGUCAUUGGAAACUGGAAAACUUGAGUGCAGAAGAGGAAAGUGGAAUUCCAUGUGUAGCGGUGAAAUGCGCAGAGAUAUGGAGGAACACCAGUGGCGAAGGCGACUUUCUGGUCUGUAACUGACGCUGAUGUGCGAAAGCGUGGGGAUCAAACAGGAUUAGAUACCCUGGUAGUCCACGCCGUAAACGAUGAGUGCUAAGUGUUAGGGGGUUUCCGCCCCUUAGUGCUGCAGCUAACGCAUUAAGCACUCCGCCUGGGGAGUACGACCGCAAGGUUGAAACUCGAAGGAAUUGACGGGGACCCGCACAAGCGGUGGAGCAUGUGGUUUAAUUCCAAGCAACGCGAAGAACCUUACCAAAUCUUGACAUCCUCUGACCCCUCUAGAGAUAGAGUUUUCCCCUUCGGGGGACAGAGUGACAGGUGGUGCAUGGU
rnacentral:rRNA from 1 species